rnacentral:rRNA from 1 species
UACGGGGGGAGCAAGCGUUGUUCGGAUUUACUGGGCGUAAAGGGCGCGUAGGCGGCCACCGCAAGUCGACUGUGAAAUCUCCGGGCUUAACCCGGAAAGGUCAGCCGAUACUGCGGGGCUAGAGUGCAGAAGGGGCAACUGGAAUUCUCGGUGUAGCGGUGAAAUGCGUAGAUAUCGGGAAGAACACCGGUGGCGAAGGCGGCUAUCUGGACCGACAUUGACGCUGAGGCGCGAAAGCGUGGGGAGCAAACAGGG